ensembl:misc_RNA Metazoa_SRP Metazoan signal recognition particle RNA
GCUGGGUGUGAUGGCUCACACCUGUAAUCCCAGCACUUCGGAGGCUAAGGCAGGAGGAUUACUUUUGUCCAGGACUUAGAGACCAGCCUGGACAACAUAGUGAGACCUUGUCUUUA